AGCAGCCGCCGCGGUAAUACAGAGGGUGCGAGCGUUAAUCGGAUUUACUGGGCGUAAAGCGUGCGUAGGCGGCUUCUUAAGUCGGAUGUGAAAUCCCUGAGCUUAACUUAGGAAUUGCAUUCGAUACUGGGAAGCUAGAGUAUGGGAGAGGAUGGUAGAAUUCCAGGUGUAGCGGUGAAAUGCGUAGAGAUCUGGAGGAAUACCGAUGGCGAAGGCAGCCAUCUGGCCUAAUACUGACGCUGAGGUACGAAAGCAUGGGGAGCAAACAGGAUUAGAUACCCCGGUAGUCCCUGUCUCUUAUAA
rnacentral:rRNA from 1 species